rnacentral:tRNA from 2 species
UAGAGGAGCCGAAUGAAAAUAAAUUUUCAUGUUCGGUUCCAAGCUAAUGAUGCGGGUUCGAUUCCCGCUAUCCGCU